rnacentral:rRNA from 1 species
UAGGGAAUCUUCCGCAAUGGGCGAAAGCUUGACGGAGCAACGCCGCGUGAGUGAUGAAGGUCUUCGGAUCGUAAAACUCUGUUAUUAGGGAAGAACAAAUGUGUAAGUAACUAUGCACGUCUUGACGGUACCUAAUCAGAAAGCCACGGCUAACUACGUGCCAGCAGCCGCGGUAAUACGUAGGUGGCAAGCGUUAUCCGGAAUUAUUGGGCGUAAAGCGCGCGUAGGCGGUUUUUUAAGUCUGAUGUGAAAGCCCACGGCUCAACCGUGGAGGGUCAUUGGAAACUGGAAAACUUGAGUGCAGAAGAGGAAAGUGGAAUUCCAUGUGUAGCGGUGAAAUGCGCAGAGGUAUGGAGGAAAACCAGUGGCGAAGGCGACUUUCUGGUCGGUAACUGACGCUGAUGUGCGAAAGCGUGGGGAUCAAACAGG